rfam:Triticum aestivum genome assembly, contig: Triticum_aestivum_CS42_TGACv1_scaffold_271881_3DS
AUAGUACUCCCUUCGUCCGAAAAUACUGGUCCAAAUAAUGAAUGUAUCUAGAUGUAUUUUAAUUCUAGAUACACCUAUUUAUAUCCAUUUCUACUACAUGUAUUUUCGGACGGACGGAGUAUAUA